ensembl:ncRNA C31H5.11 ncRNA
AAAGGGUAUAUGAGACCUCCCAAAGAUUUACCGACUUUUUGAAAUAAGAGAAGACGACUCGUUUGAAGAUGGAGACGGGGAGGACGAAGUCGUUAUUUAGAAUUCUCAACAGCACCGACGUCUGUUUCGUGGGAAUAUUUGGUAA